AAAAAAAAAAAAAAAAAAAUUGUCGUUCAUUUAAUGUAUUAUUAUUCUAAUUCUAUAAUAAUGAUAAUUAACGUCGUGUUUCCAAUAUAAUUAUAAUAAUCAUCGCUGUAGGCUUAUCAUUAUAAACGCGUUUCACUAAAUCGUGCCAGUCUUUUUCUUAUAUUAUAAUAUAGUAUAAUAUUAUAUAUUAUUCUAAAAAGCUUUUUUUGAAAAAUCGAGAAUUUCACGAUUUCUAAUAACAAUAAUUCAUCGUUAUAAUAUUCUCAUGUUAUAUCUAUAUACGGUAAAUUUAUUUCAUGGAAAAAAAAAAUAAAAAACUUGAACGAAUGGCCUAAUAAAAAAAAAAAAAACGUCUCGCGUGUUAUACAUCGGAAGAGAGUUAUUAUUAAAACUAAACAAUAUAAUAUUAUUAAUUAUUAUUAUAUUAUAUAUUAUUAUCAAUGUAAAACACAUUUUGUUAUCAUCGUUACUAGCGGUUUUGUAUAGUCUUUGUAACUAAAAUAAAAUUAUAUUUCUCAGUGUAUUUGUUCGUUUUUUUUUUUUUUUUUUUAUUAAAAAAUCAUUAAAAAUGUUUUAUUACACUGAUAUUAUUAUAAUAUUAUUCUUGAAUUGUUUACCAUCAUCUCAUAUUUAUUAUAUAUUAUUGAUUGAUUAUUAUUAUUAUUAUUAUUAUUAUUAUUAUUAUAGUAUACUUAUUAUUAUACAAUCAUAUAUUUCGUUGAUUAUUUUGUUUGUUUUUUUAUGUCAAACCAAAAUGUUUUGAGUUUAUUUGUACGGUUAUUAUUAUUAUAUUAUGUUUGUUUGUUUGUAAUAAUCUCUAUAUCGUAAUAUUAUAAUAUAUUAUGACAAAUCGCCACUCGCGUUUUAAUAAUAAUAUAUAAUAUUGCAGGCCAUUAAUAACAAUAUUAUACAAUGUUUAAAGGCCGUAAAAUAUUAUCUAUAGAUAAUAUUUACAAAGAAAUAUGAAAUGAAAUCCGUAAAGUUAUUGUAUAAAUUGAAAAAAAAAAAUACAAAACGGUGUGUGUACACAAAUACACACACACACACACAAUAUUAUAUAAUAUAUAUAUAUAUAGAUUUGCUCAUAGUAUUUGUUAACUCUUGUGUAGUCGAUAAAUUAAUAAUAUUAUAUUAUAUUUAAUUUCAAGCAAUUUGUAC